rnacentral:rRNA from 1 species
UACGGAGGGUGCGAGCGUUAUUCGGAAUUAUUGGGCGUAAAGGGCGCGUAGGCGGCUGUACAAGUCAAAGGUGAAAUCCCUCGGCUCAACUGAGGAACUGCCUUUGAAACUGUACGGCUUGAGGCCGGGAGGGGGUAGCGGAAUUCCCAGUGUAGCGGUGAAAUGCGUAGAUACUGGGAGGAACACCAGUGGCGAAGGCGGCUACCUGGACCGGUUCUGACGCUGAGGCGCGAAAGCGUGGGUAGCAAACAGG